UAAUCUUUAGUGUUAAAAGCACGAAAAAUUUUGAUUUUUUAAGAAAUAAUUUUAUUUAUUAGGAUUAA
rnacentral:tRNA from 1 species